UCAGGUAGGGAUACCCGCUGAACUUAAGCAUAUCAAUAAGCGGAGG
rnacentral:rRNA from 1 species